ensembl:lncRNA
AACCGUGUAUGUUUGCAGGUUUGAGUGAUUCAACCAUGUAUGUUUGCAGGUUUGAGUGAUUCAACCAUGUAUGUUUGCAGGUUUGAGUGAUUCAACCAUGUAUGUUUGCAGGUUUCAGUGAUUCAACCAUGUAUGUUUGCAGGUUUCAGUGAUUCAACCAUGUAUGUUUGCAGGUUUCAGUGAUUCAACCAUGUAUGUUUGCAGGUUUGAGUGAUUCGAACUGAUGUAUGUUUGCAGGUUUGAGUGAUUCGAACUGAUGUAUGUUUGAAGGUUUGAGAGAGUCGAACCGUAUGAUUGUGGUACAUUAGGUAUUAAGUCGAUGUUCUAAUACCAAGUUUGUAUGACCUUCGGGUAAAUAACAGGUGUGAGACCUAGGUUAUGUUUUGAAACGGUAAAGGAGAAGUGCACGGUGUUUACUAGACAGUGGCUAGAUUGGGACACAUUCUAAGGCAGCACACAAUUGAACCUGAUCAUUUAUAUUGUAUUCAAAUUAAAACAAGUAAUUGAAAUACAUUAGACAAUGGCUAAUCAGGAGGCAGAGAAGGUGUUGAAAACAUUGAAAUCGGCAUUAGAGACCAAUGGAGGAAAAGAGGGAAAAGAUUGGAGAAAGAAAGGAGAAAGAUUAUACAGA